rnacentral:rRNA from 1 species
UACGUGGUUUAAUUCGAUGCAAACCGAAGAACCUUACCUGGGUUUGACAUGUGCGUGUUACUGAGGUGAAAGCCGAGGGACCAUAUCUUCGGAUGUGGAGCGUACACAGGUGCUGCAUGGCUGUCGUCAGCUCGUGUCGUGAGAUGUUGGGUUAAGUCCCGCAACGAGCGCAACCCUGCAUUCAGUUGCCAACGGUAAGGCCGGGCACUCUGGAUGGACUGCCGGCGACAAGCCGGAGGAAGGUGGGAUGACGUCAAGUCAUCAUGGCCCUUAUGUCCAGGGCGACACACGUGCUACAAUGGCCGGCACAGCGGGAAGCGAGGGGGCGACCUUGAGCGGAUCCCUCAAAGCCGGUCUCAGUUCGGAUUGCAGUCUGCAACUCGACUGCAUGAAGUUGGAAUCGCUAGUAAUCGUGGAUCAGCCAAGCCGCGGUGAAUACGUUCCCGGGCCUU